rnacentral:lncRNA from 10 species
CAGGACAGCUAGAGAGAGAACGUUCUCAGUAAGAUGCUCUUGUCAUUAAAAUGUAGGUGCUUUCAUUCAUCAAAAUAUUUCCUAGAAAGACACCAAACUCCCAUAGCUAUUAUCUGAAGUUAUUCACUUUUACAUUCUUCCAUUUAUUUCUUUUAAAUAUUUUAAUUGACAAAUGACAGAUUGUAUAUAUUUAUGGUGUACAAUGUAAAGUUUCGAUAUGUGUAUACAUUGUGGAAUGAUUAAAUCCAAUUCUUCCACUUCUUAAAAUGAAUGUACAACUUAUUUGACUAUAGCUCAUUCAUUCACCAACCUGUAUUUAACUCUUAAUAUGCAUUGUUGUGCCAAACACUGGGAUUUCAAAGAUGACAUUGGUGUGGACCCAGGUUUGAUAUCUGAUAGAGGGAUAUAGACAUGUAAAUCAUUAAAUCAAAUUUAGUAAAGAGUUGUAAGUGUAAUAGAAACCAUCUGUGUACUACAGUAUAAGAAUUACGGCAUAAAGAAAGCAGUAAAGAGAUUCAGCAGGAGUAUAAUUAAUAUAUUGGAUUCCUGUCUUUUUUUUAAAUUAAUUAUUUCUUUUUUUUUUUUUUUUUUGAGACUGAGUCUCGCUCUGUUGCCCAGGCUGGAGUGCAGUGGCACGUCGGGUCACUGCAAACCUCCCGCUCCUGGGUUCAAGCGAUUCUCCUGCCUCAGUCUCCUGAGUAGCUGGGAUUACAGGCAUGAACCACCACGCCCGGACUUCCUGCCCUUUGAAUUUACCAAGAAGAGGUAAUUCGAUCAUGCAUAGCACACAAAUAUAUUAAUUGUCAAAGCGCAUCCUCUCUCUAUUCUUGUGAGUUGGAUUUUUUUUUAAAAAAGACUUUCAUUUUGAAAUAAUUACAAAUUCACAGGAAAUUGCAGAGAUGGAUAGUACAGAGGUUCUGUGUAUCCUUUACCUGGUUUCCCCAGUGAUUACAUCAUCAAAACCAAGGAGUUGAUUGACAAUGAUAAAAAGCAUGUGCAUAAUUCUAUGUCCUUUUACCAUAUGUUUAGAUUUGAUAAGCACCACUUCAAUCAAGAUAUAUAACUAUUUCAUUACCACAGGGAUCUUCCAGGGCUACCGCUUUACAAUACUACUAACCUCCUCCCUCUAGCAUCGUUAAACCCUGGCAACUGUUCAUCUAUUAAAGGAUGACAUUGGCACUGGAGAUGACAUCUAAUAAAGAGACACAGAGAAGUAAAUCAUGCAAAUCUAAUGCAGAGAAUAAACUAAGCUUGUAACCUGUAAUAGCUUGUAGCUUCAAUGUUAUAUAAAUGAAAUCAUUCAGUAUGUGACCCUUUGAGAUUGGCUUUAUUCCCCC